rfam:Candidatus Roizmanbacteria bacterium RIFCSPLOWO2_01_FTLL_42_14 rifcsplowo2_01_scaffold_5988, whole genome shotgun sequence.
GCGGGCGUAGCUCAAUUGGCAGAGCGCCAUGCUAUCAUCACAGUUGGCAUGGAGGUUGCGAGUUCGAGUCUCGUCGCCCGCU